UGCCAAUAGGGAUUAUCAUCUGGC
rnacentral:siRNA from 1 species